GUGCGGUCACCGCCGCAGCGUGCGGACAGAAACCGGCGUGGUCAGGCACCGUUGGGCUCCGCGUUGGUCGCACCCGACCGCAGGUGACGUUACCGUCGGGGGGAGAGGAGGAAGUACACAUCAUGCACGGCCGACGGCAUUCCACGUUCCGCCUCACCGACCUUGUGGGGAUUCCUCCCAUUCUCUCUCUCCCUCUCCCUCUCCCUCUCCCUCUAUCCUGUUCCCAAUCCUUUCCCCUUCCGUUUCUACCGACCCUCCUCCUAACCCUGACCUUGUACCUCACGCCGAUCCAUGGAUUCCGGCCGCCGUCAUCUCCACCACCACCACCAUGCCGGCGGAGGAGGGCGGGAGGAUAUCUGGAGCGAGGACGCGACGGGCGCCCUCAUCGAUGCCUGGGGCGAUCGGCACCUCCGCCUCAGCCGGGGCAGCCUCCGGCAGAAGGACUGGAAAGAGGUGGCGGACGCCGUGAACGAGCGGCGGGAGGCGGUGGGGAAGCCCCCCAAGACCGACGCCCAGUGCAAGAACCGGAUCGACACCCUCAAGAAGAAGUACAAGAUCGAGAAGGCGAAGCCUGGGCCGUCGGAGUGGUCCUUCUUCUCGCGCCUCGAUCUCCUCAUCGGAGACGCCGCCACCGAGCCCUACCACCGCCCGACGCCAUCCUUAAGAUUGCAGCAUUCUCACCCCCUGCCUAAACGUCACCCUUCGCUCGUUUCAACCGUCAAGCAUCGGAACCCUAACGGGGCCGUGUAUUUGCGGGGAUCAUCAGAGAGCUCUCCCGAGUUCGGCGACGGCAAUGAUGACGAGGAUAUUGAAGCCGACGCAGAGGCGGACGAGGAUGAUGAUGAUGAGCAGGAGCGUAAGCUUAAUGGGAUGUUUGCCGGUGCAUUGGCCGGGAAGCGGCGAAGAGAUUGGGGGGUUUAUGGUUGUGGCAUGGGUGAUGGUGAUGGAGGCCACGGGCCGUUUAGUGAAUUGGCAAGGGCGAUCAUGAAAUUUGCUGAUGUUUAUGAGAGAGUGGAAAACUCGAAGCAGCGGCAGAUGAUGGAGUUGGAACUAAAACGGAUGGAGUUUGCAAAGGAUCUCGAGUUCCAGAGGAUGCAGAUGAUCAUUGAAGCUCAAAUCGAGGUGGAGAAGAUGAAGCGGCGAAAGAACACGUCUGGAUCUGGAAAGAGUUGAGUGGUGUUUGCAGCGUAAGCAAGCUGUCAUUUUAAUACCUGUGGCGUUUGUAGAUAAUGAGAAGGUCCAAUUUAUAAGAUUCUAUCGCACUUGGGUCAACGCUUUAAGCUACCACGGUAGGUAGGUAGGUAACCCCCGAGAUGGUGGUUUUAUUUCGUCACUGUUCAUGAUCUC